rnacentral:rRNA from 1 species
AUACGGAGGGAGCGAGCGUUAAUCGGAAUUACUGGGCGUAAAGCGCGCGUAGGCGGCUUUGUAAGUCGGAUGUGAAAGCCCUGGGCUCAACCUGGGAAUUGCAUUCGAUACUGCAGAGCUAGAGUAUGGUAGAGGGAAGUGGAAUUUCCGGUGUAGCGGUGAAAUGCGUAGAUAUCGGAAGGAACACCAGUGGCGAAGGCGACUUCCUGGGCCAAUACUGACGCUGAGGUGCGAAAGCGUGGGGAGCAAACAGGAGUAGAUACCCCAGUAGUCC